UGAUAUUCCUGUACCACCUAGUAUCGUUUUAAUCGAUGGGGGGACGCAGUAGGAUAGGCGAAGCGUGCUGUUGGAGUGCACGUCCAAGCAGUAAGGCUGAGUGUUAGGCAAAUCCGGCACUCAUAAGGCUGAGCUGUGAUGGGGAGAGGAAAUUGUUUCCUCGAGUCGUUGAUUUCACACUGCCGAGAAAAGCCUCUAGAUAGAUAACAGGUGCCCGUACCGCAAACCGACACAGGUAGUCAAGAUGAGAAUUCUAAGGUGAGCGAGCGAACUCUCGUUAAGGAACUCGGCAAAAUGACCCCGUAACUUCGGGAGAAGGGGUGCUCUUUAGGGUUCACGCCCAGAAGAGCCGCAGUGAAUAGGCCCAAGCGACUGUUUAUCAAAAACACAGGUCUCUGCUAAACCGUAAGGUGAUGUAUAGGGGCUGACGCCUGCCCGGUGCUGGAAGGUUAAGAGGAGUGGUUAGCUUCUGCGAAGCUACGAAUCGAAGCCCCAGUAAACGGCGGCCGUAACUAUAACGGUCCUAAGGUAGCGAAAUUCCUUGUCGGGUAAGUUCCGACCCGCACGAAAGGCGUAACGAUUUGGGCACUGUCUCAACGAGAGACUCGGUGAAAUCAUAGUACCUGUGAAGAUGCAGGUUACCCGCGACAGGACGGAAAGACCCCGUGGAGCUUUACUGUAGCCUGAUAUUGAAAUUCGGCACAGCUUGUACAGGAUAGGUAGGAGCCUUUGAAACGUGAGCGCUAGCUUACGUGGAGGCGUUGGUGGGAUACUACCCUAGCUGUGUUGGCUUUCUAACCCGCACCACUUAUCGUGGUGGGAGACAGUGUCAGGCGGGCAGUUUGACUGGGGCGGUCGCCUCCUAAAAGGGAACGGAGGCGCUCAAAGGUUCCCUCAGAAUGGUUGGAAAUCAUUCAUAGAG
rnacentral:rRNA from 1 species